CGGUCAUGGCGACGCUCUUUGAUCACUUCCUUUGGUCCUUUUUCUGACUCGUUCAUUAUAACUUAUAAGGUGGCCGAAGAAGCAGGUCAAUGUUUGAUAAGGUUUGGCGCAAUCUCAGCCGUUGGUUUUCUUCAUAUGUCGCCAUGUCGGUGGUUUUCUCAUUUAUACUCUUCCAGAAAACUGCAUAAAUGGACGCAGCCCGCAUGGCGGCAUGGAGGAUCUUUCGAGGAAGUAGGCAGCAAAACAGUAACUCUUGCUUUUUCUUUUUCUUAUUCUUUGCAUUUUAAGUCCCUG
rnacentral:lncRNA from 1 species